UACGGACAUAUCACGUUGAAACACCGGUUCUCCUACGAUCACCGAAGUUAAGCAACGUUAAGCCUGGUCACUAACUAGAUGGGUGAGCGCUUAGGAAUAACAGGUUCUGUA